UACGGGGGGGGCAAGCGUUGUUCGGAAUUACUGGGCGUAAAGGGCUCGUAGGCGGCCAACUAAGUCAGACGUGAAAUCCCCAGGCUCAACCUGGGAACUGCGUCUGAUACUGGAUGGCUUGAAUCCGGGAGAGGGAUGCAGAAUUCCAGGUGUAGCGGUGAAAUGCGUAGAUAUCUGGAGGAACACCGGUGGCGAAGGCGGCAUCCUGGACCGACACUGACGCUGAGGAGCGAAAGCCAGGGGAGCAAACGGG
rnacentral:rRNA from 1 species